UUCAAAAUUGUUGUUAAGGGCUUAGGGAAGGCGGUGGCCAUUAGCUUCUGCAGUGACGAAGGAUUUGGAGGACGGAAGCCCUGCAAUCGCAUUAGUUGGUUCAUUUCAAGGUCGAUUUUGAGUUCCUCUGAAUAAAUAUUGAGUUAAUUGUGAUACCCAUGAGAUAAGACAGAAGAUUCCAUCGAACAACCACAACCCAACACUUGUUUUCAUGAUAAAACAUUGAAUUCUGCAGAGGUUUUGUACAACCAAAUAUAAGUAUAUAUGUUGAUAAUACGAGGUAAUCCAUAAACAACUAUAUCUAUGUCCAAGCAAUUUGAACAGAAGUACAAGCCUAAGUAAUUAUACAAGGAUUCUGGGCAUAAAAA